rnacentral:tRNA from 1 species
GUCUCAGUGUGACAUAGUGGUUUGAGUAUUGGACUAUGACUCUAGAGAUCAGGGUUCGAUUCCUGGCUCAGACG